GGAGAUUUAGCUCAGUGGUAGAGCAGUUGCCUAGCAAGCACAAGAUCCUGGGUUCAGUCCCCAGCUCUG
rfam:Rattus norvegicus chromosome 4, whole genome shotgun sequence.